AUACGAAGGGGGCUAGCGUUGUUCGGAAUUACUGGGCGUAAAGCGAGCGUAGGUCGCUUGGCAAGUCAGUGGUGAAAUCCCGGAGCUUAACUCUGGAACUGCCAUUGAAACUGCUGGGCUAGAAUCUCAGAGGGGAUAGCGGAAUUCCAAAUGUAGGGGUGAAAUCCGUAGAUAUUUGGAGGAACACCGGUGGCGAAAGCGGCUAUCUGGAUGAGUAUUGACACUGAGGCUCGAAAGCGUGGGGAUC
rnacentral:rRNA from 1 species